AUGAGAAUACUCACGUGUGCUCUUUCUACUAACAUGACAUGGUAAGGAAAAUCUCCUUGAGAUAAGUGAACGACUGUGACUUUGGAAGAAUGCAGAAAAACAGUGUUGGUGGCUGAUCAGUGCUGAGCUGAUACAGAUUGAUACAGACUGCAGCAACUUCUUGAAGAACCUACUGAUAACUAUAGGGGAAAAAGAAAAAUACCAAGAGAAGGUUACUGUAUUUAAGCAUGUCAAGCGUCAAUCUUAUAUACAUAAGACAUUCCUUUGGAUCCUUUCUCUACAAAACUGCUACUUCUACAAUCUUCAGAUGAAGGAACUUCAAGAGGGGGAUUGCCCUGCUGUUUACCAAACACGUGUUAUCAGCAGGGAGGAACAAUUAAGCUGGCUUAAGGCUUCUGCCAAUUACUGUCCGUUUUACUCUGAGCAUCCAAAGGAACAAGUUUUGCUUGAUUACCCAAGGAAACAUGUCCUGCUGUUUUCUCCCUAAAAAAUAAAUUGCAAACCCAAACAAAUCUGAUAUAGAGC
rnacentral:lncRNA from 1 species